rnacentral:snRNA from 1 species
AAGUAGAUGAUGCUUCUUCGC